CGAGUUUGAUCCUGGCUCAGAUUGAACGCUGGCGGCAGGCCUAACACAUGCAAGUCGAGCGGAUGAUGGGAGCUUGCUCCCGGAUUCAGCGGCGGACGGGUGAGUAAUGCCUAGGAAUCUGCCUGGUAGUGGGGGACAACGUUUCGAAAGGAACGCUAAUACCGCAUACGUCCUACGGGAGAAAGCAGGGGACCUUCGGGCCUUGCGCUAUCAGAUGAGCCUAGGUCGGAUUAGCUAGUUGGUGGGGUAAAGGCCUACCAAGGCGACGAUCCGUAACUGGUCUGAGAGGAUGAUCAGUCACACUGGAACUGAGACACGGUCCAGACUCCUACGGGAGGCAGCAGUGGGGAAUAUUGGACAAUGGGCGAAAGCCUGAUCCAGCCAUGCCGCGUGUGUGAAGAAGGUCUUCGGAUUGUAAAGCACUUUAAGUUGGGAGGAAGGGCAGUAAGUUAAUACCUUGCUGUUUUGACGUUACCAACAGAAUAAGCACCGGCUAACUUCGUGCCAGCAGCCGCGGUAAUACGAAGGGUGNCAGCGUUAAUCGGAAUUACUGGGCGUUAAGCGCGCGUAGGUGGUUUGGGUAGAUGGAUGUGAAAUCCCCGGGC
rnacentral:rRNA from 1 species